GACGAACGCUGGCGGCGUGCUUAACACAUGCAAGUCGAACGGAAAGGCCCUGCUUUUGUGGGGUGCUCGAGUGGCGAACGGGUGCGUAACACGUGAGUAACCUGCCCUUGACUUUGGGAUAACUUCAGGAAACUGGGGCUAAUACCGGAUAGGAGCUCCUGCUGCAUGGUGGGGGUUGGAAAGUUUCGGCGGUUGGGGAUGGACUCGCGGCUUAUCAGCUUGUUGGUGGGGUAGUGGCUUACCAAGGCUUUGACGGGUAGCCGGCCUGAGAGGGUGACCGGCGACAUUGGGACUGAGAUACGGCCCAGACUGCUACGGGAGGCAGCAGUGGGGAAUAUUGCACAAUGGGCGGAAGCCUGAUGCAGCAACGCCGCGUGCGGGAUGACGGCCUUCGGGUUGUAAACCGCUUUCGCCUGUGACGAAGCGUGAGUGACGGUAAUGGGUAAAGAAGCACCGGCUAACUACGUG
rnacentral:rRNA from 1 species